ensembl:lncRNA VPS11-DT VPS11 divergent transcript
GCUGGGAAAGUGGGCGGGGCCGCGCGGGGUAGUCCUAGAUCUGCAGUGUGCGAGUUUGCCGGAUGUGACUGUAACUUCGCUAGCUAAAAUGCUUGAGAGCGGACCCUUCAUCCCUUUGAGCAUGUUUCUUCCUAAAAUGCGCGGAUACCGGGAGAUCAAGAUGAGGGAUGUCAUGUGCCUUGUGAACUGUCACCCGCCGUGCGUAAGUGAAUGACGUUUUGACCUCACAGGACUGUUUUGGGGCAUAAAUGAAACAGUGUAUGUUAAACCAGGUUUUCGGCUGUAUGAGAGGAGAAAUAAAAUUAGAAGUUUGUGUCUGCCACCA